rnacentral:rRNA from 1 species
UACGAAGGGGGCUAGCGUUGCUCGGAAUUAUUGGGCGUAAAGAGCUCGUAGGCGGUCAGUCGCGUCUGCUGUGAAAACUCGGGGCUUAACUCCGGGCCUGCAGUGGGUACGGGCUGACUAGAGUGCGGUAGGGGAGACUGGAAUUCCUGGUGUAGCGGUGGAAUGCGCAGAUAUCAGGAGGAACACCGAUGGCGAAGGCAGCUCGCUGGGACGGUACUGACGCUGAGGCGCGAAAGCGUGGGGAGCGAACAGG